rnacentral:rRNA from 1 species
CACGUAGGGUGCGAGCGUUGUCCGGAAUUAUUGGGCGUAAAGAGCUCGUAGGCGGCUUGGCAAGUGGAUGGUGAAAUCCCGUCGGACUUAACCGAGGAACUGCCGUCCAAACUGCUUUGCUUGAGACCGGGAGAGGUGAGUGGAAUUCCCAGUGUAGCGGUGAAAUGCGUAGAUAUUGGGAGGAACACCAGUGGCGAAGGCGGCUCACUGGACCGGUACUGACGCUGAUGCGCGAAAGCGUGGGGAGCAAACGGGG